rnacentral:rRNA from 1 species
UACGUAGGGUGCGAGCGUUAAUCGGAAUUACUGGGCGUAAAGCGUGCGCAGGCGGUGAUGUAAGACAGAUGUGAAAUCCCCGGGCUCAACCUGGGAACUGCAUUUGUGACUGCAUGGCUAGAGUACGGUAGAGGGGGAUGGAAUUCCGCGUGUAGCAGUGAAAUGCGUAGAUAUGCGGAGGAACACCGAUGGCGAAGGCAAUCCCCUGGACCUGUACUGACGCUCAUGCACGAAAGCGUGGGGAGCAAACAGG